rnacentral:rRNA from 1 species
CACACCGCCCGUCACGCCAUGGAAGCUGGAGGGACCCGAAGCCGGUGUGCCAACCGCAAGGAGCAGCCGUCUAAGGUCAAUUCAGUGACUGGGGCG